GAGACACCCCUCCGGGGCAAGACUUGCUUCAAUGGGGCUUUGGUGGUCACUGAGUCUGCCCCCUGAGUGUGUCCUU
rfam:Myotis lucifugus cont2.17717, whole genome shotgun sequence.